GAUGAACGCUGGCUGUGUGCCUAAUACAUGCAUGUCGAGCGAGGUUAGCAAUAACCUAGCGGCGAAUGGGUGAGUAACACGUGCUUAAUCUACCUUUUAGAUUGGAAUACCCAUUGGAAACAAUGGCUAAUGCCGGAUACGCAUGGAACCGCAUGGUUCCGUUGUGAAAGGCGCUGUAAGGCGCCACUAAAAGAUGAGGGUGCGGAACAUUAGUUAGUUGGUGAGGUAAUGGCCCACCAAGACUAUGAUGUUUAGCCGGGUCGAGAGACUGAACGGCCACAUUGGGACUGAGAUACGGCCCAAACUCCUACGGGAGGCAGCAGUAGGGAAUAUUCCACAAUGAGCGAAAGCUUGAUGGAGCGACACAGCGUGCACGAUGAAGGUCUUCGGAUUGUAAAGUGCUGUUAUAAGGGAAGAACAUUCGCAAUAGGAAAUGAUUGCAGACUGACGGUACCUUGUCAGAAAGCGAUGGCUAACUAUGUGCCAGCAGCCGCGGUAAUACAUAGGUCGCAAGCGUUAUCCGGAAUUAUUGGGCGUAAAGCGUUCGUAGGCUGUUUGUUAAGUCUGGAGUUAAAUCCCGGGGCUCAACCCCGGCUCGCUUUGGAUACUAGCAAACUAGAGUUAGAUAGAGGUAAGCGGAAUUCCAUGUGAAGCGGUGAAAUGCGUAGAUAUAUGGAAGAACACCAAAGGCGAAGGCAGCUUACUGGGUCUAUACUGACGCUGAGGGACGAAAGCGUGGGGAGCAAACAGG
rnacentral:rRNA from 1 species